rnacentral:rRNA from 1 species
ACGUACACUCCUGCGGGAGGCAGCAGUGGGGAAUAUUGGACAAUGGGCGCAAGCCUGAUCCAGCCAUGCCGCGUGAGUGAUGAAGGCCCUAGGGUUGUAAAGCUCUUUCACCGGUGAAGAUAAUGACGGUAACCGGAGAAGAAGCCCCGGCUAACUUCGUGCCAGCAGCCGCGGUAAUACGAAGGGGGCUAGCGUUGUUCGGAUUUACUGGGCGUAAAGCGCACGUAGGCGGACUAUUAAGUCAGGGGUGAAAUCCCGGGGCUCAACCCCGGAACUGCCUUUGAUACUGGUAGUCUUGAGUUCGAGAGAGGUGAGUGGAAUUCCGAGUGUAGUGGUGAAAUUCGUAGAUAUUCGGAGGAACACCAGUGGCGAAGGCGGCUCACUGGCUCGAUACUGACGCUGAGGUGCGAAAGCGUGGGGAGCAAACAGGAUUAGAAACCCCAGUAGUCCC